rnacentral:lncRNA from 1 species
CUGCCUCUUGGACUCCUGGCUGGGCUCCCACUCAUCCUGGUUUCCUUACCCAGCUCCGCCUUUCCACGCCACUCUCUCCCUUCAGCCUGGGGACAACUCCAGGGAGCUCCCGCUUUUACAGGCCCACAGCCAGGGAGAGGAAAGAAGGGCAGAGGGAGAGCGCCGAUCCCAAGGACGCCUCUGGCCAGGUCGGUCAUUGUAUUACCUGCCCACAAAAUGGAUGUAAUGACUCUUCUGUUUGUAUAGCACUUGGCUCGGAAAGCUCUGUACAGAUGACGCGCCACGGGUCCCUCUGAUGCAGGCAGGGAAUUGGACCUGAAGCGGACCUCAGGAAAGAGGAGCGACCCAUAACCAUGGAACGGCAUUAGUAGAAAGACAGGCCCCUGGUCAGGGUUCACCCCACGGAGAGCACCCUUUCCCCCACGCACGGUCAUGCGUAAAUGCCUUCAUCCAAAUACGUGAAUGUAAGAGCAGCUCCUUCCCACUGACAGGUGAAGAGGAAGCCAGAACCCGAGUUCUGAGUGUAGUUUUCCCUAACGAGGCAGCUACUGGGCUUGGCUUGGAGUCAGGGAGACUCAUCUUCUUGAGUUCAAAUCUGGCCUCAGACCCCAGGCAAGUGGUUUUGCCCUGCUUGCCUUUGUUUUCUCAUCUGUAAAAUGAGCCGAAGAGGGAAAUGGCAAAGCACUCUCUCAUCUUUGCCAAGAAAACCCCAAAUGGGGUCAUGAAGGUUCGGGGACGACUAAAAUGACUGAACAAGAGGAAAUUUCCCUAAAGCCGUGGGUCAACAGAGAGAUACUCAAGCUUCUUGGCCAGUCCGCCUGGUGUCCAACAGAAAGCAUUUGUGAGAUGCUUGGCUGGGGAAGGAGUGGACACUCUUGUUGGGGAGCCGAGAUUAUUUUCUCCCCUGGGAGAUGAAUGGACUCCUCAGUGAAUUCAACCUGGAAUUAGAGGACCUAGGUUCAAAUCGUGGCUCUGACUACAGUCCUAGGAUCACCCAGGGCGAGACACAACAUCUUUGGGCUCCAGUUUUCUCGCUUGUAAAAGAAGUGGAGAAAGACACAUCAGUUUACACUCAAAGCCCUGAUGGUAGAGUUCAGCCCCAUAGCCAUCUGAGACCUAUCACGUUCCUUCUACUUUUUUUUCCAUUGUUUGGAAUAAAUAGCUAGGAGAUUUAACUGGAAGAUAAAGAACUUUUCAAAAACAAAACUAAAAUUUCCUCAAGAUAUUUUUUUAAACAAAAUUUCACCUGUCCUAGUGAUUAAAAAAAAGUCUUCUCA